CAAAAUAAGUGAUAUAGAGCAAAACCCUAAAAACGGUCUCAGUUCGGAUUGAAGGCUGAAAUUCGCCUUCAUGAAGCUGGAAUUGCUAGUAAUGGCAGGUCAGCAUACUGCCGUGAAUACGUUCCCGGGCCUUGUACACACCGCCCGUCACACCAUGAGAGUUGGGAAUACCCGAAGCCUGUGAGCUAACUUAUAGAGGCAGCAGUCGAAGGUAGAAUCAAUGAUUGGGGUGAAGUCGUAACAAGGUAGC
rnacentral:rRNA from 1 species